GGGGCUGUAGCUUAAUGGUAAAGCCUCUGUCUUCCAAACAGAUGACGCGAGUUCGAUUCUCGUCAGCCCCUCCA
rnacentral:tRNA from 2 species